UGCGUAGGCGGGUCUUUAAGUCAGAGGUGAAAUCCUGGAGCUCAACUCCAGAGCUGCCUUUGAUACUGCAGAUCUUGAGUUCGGGAGAGGUGAGUGGAACUGCGAGUGUAGAGGUGAAAUUCGUAGAUAUUCGCAAGAACACCAGUGGCGAAGGCGGCUCACUGGCCCGAUACUGACGCUGAGGCACGAAAGCGUGGGGAGCAAACA
rnacentral:rRNA from 1 species